rnacentral:rRNA from 1 species
GAUUAAGUUAUUAAGGGCGCACGGUGGAUGCCUUGGCACUAGAAGCCGACGAAGGACGUUACUAACGACGAUAUGCUUUGGGGAGCUGUAAGUAAGCUUUGAUCCAGAGAUUUCCGAAUGGGGAAACCCAGCACGAGUUAUGUCGUGUUAUCGAUAUGUGAAUACAUAGCAUAUCUGAAGGCAGACGCGGAGAACUGAAACAUCUUAGUACCCGCAGGAAGAGAAAGAAAAAUCGAUUCCCUGAGUAGCGGCGAGCGAAACGGGAAGAGCCCAAACCAACGAGCUUGCUUGUUGGGGUUGUAGGACACUCUAUACGGAGUUACAAAAGAACAGACUAGACGAAUCAUCUGGAAAGAUGAAUCAAAGAAGGUAAUAAUCCUGUAGUCGAAAGUUUGUUCACUCUUGAGUGGAUCCUGAGUACGACGGAACACGAGAAAUUCCGUCGGAAUCUGGGAGGACCAUCUCCCAAGGCUAAAUACUCUCUAGUGACCGAUAGUGAACCAGUACCGUGAGGGAAAGGUGAAAAGUACCCCGGAAGGGGAGUGAAAUAGAACUUGAAACCGUGUGCUUACAAGUAGUCAGAGCCCGUUAAUGGUUGAUGGCGUGCCUUUUGUAGAAUGAACCGGCGAGUUACGAUUUGAUGCAAGGUUAAGCAGUGAAUGUGGAGCCGUAGCGAAAGCGAGUCUGAAUAGGGCGUUGAGUAUUUGGUCGUAGACCCGAAACCAGGUGAUCUACCCAUGACCAGGUUGAAGUUCAGGUAACACUGAAUGGAGGAAUCGAACCGACUUACGUUGAAAAGUGAGCGGAUGAGUUGUGGGUAGCGGAGAAAUUCCAAUCGAACCUGGAGAUAGCUGGUUCUCUCCGAAAUAGCUUUAGGGCUAGCCUCAAGUGAUGAUUAUUGGAGGUAGAGCACUGUUUGGACGAGGGCGCUUAUCGGGUUACCGAAUUCAGACAAACUCCGAAUGCCAAUCAAUUUAACUUGGGAGUCAGAACGCGGGUGAUAAGGUCCGUGUUCGAAAGGGAAACAGCCCAGACCACCAGCUAAGGUCCCAAAAUAUAUGUUAAGUGGAAAAGGAUGUGGCGUUGCCCAGACAACUAGGAUGUUGGCUUAGAAGCAGCCAUCAUUUAAAGAGUGCGUAAUAGCUCACUAGUCGAGUGACACUGCGCCGAAAAUGUACCGGGGCUAAACAUAUUACCGAAGCUGUGGAUUGUCCAUAAGGACAAUGGUAGGAGAGCGUUCUAAGGGCGUUGAAGCAUGAUCGCAAGGACAUGUGGAGCGCUUAGAAGUGAGAAUGCCGGUGUGAGUAGCGAAAGACGGGUGAGAAUCCCGUCCACCGAUUGACUAAGGUUUCCAGAGGAAGGCUCGUCCGCUCUGGGUUAGUCGGGUCCUAAGCUGAGGCCGAUAGGCGUAGGCGAUGGAUAACAGGUUGAUAUUCCUGUACCACCAUUAUUCGUUUUAAGCGAUGGGGGGACGCAGUAGGAUAGGCGAAGCGUACGAUUGGAUUGUACGUCCAAGCAGUGAGAUUGAGUGUUAGGCAAAUCCGGCACUCUUAAGAUUGAGCUGUGAUGGGGAGAGGAAAUUGUUUCCUCGAGUCGUUGAUUUCACACUGCCAAGAAAAGCCUCUAGCUAGAAUUGUGGUGCCCGUACCGCAAACCGACACAGGUAGUCAAGAUGAGAAUUCUAAGGUGAGCGAGCGAACUCUCGUUAAGGAACUCGGCAAAAUGACCCCGUAACUUCGGGAGAAGGGGUGCUCUUUAGGGUUAACGCCCAGGAGAGCCGCAGUGAAUAGGCUCAAGCGACUGUUUAUCAAAAACACAGGUCUCUGCUAAACCGUAAGGUGAUGUAUAGGGGCUGACGCCUGCCCGGUGCUGGAAGGUUAAGAGGAGUGGUUAGCUUCUGCGAAGCUACGAAUCGAAGCCCCAGUAAACGGCGGCCGUAACUAUAACGGUCCUAAGGUAGCGAAAUUCCUUGUCGGGUAAGUUCCGACCCGCACGAAAGGCGUAACGAUUUGGGCACUGUCUCAACGAGAGACUCGGUGAAAUCAUAGUACCUGUGAAGAUGCAGGUUACCCGCGACAGGACGGAAAGACCCCGUGGAGCUUUACUGUAGUCUGAUAUUGAAAUUCGGCACAGCUUGUACAGGAUAGGUAGGAGCCUGAGAUACGUGAGCGCUAGCUUACGUGGAGGCGUUGGUGGGAUACUACCCUCGCUGUGUUGGAUUUCUAACCCGCACCAUUUAUCAUGGUGGGAGACAGUGUCAGAUGGGCAGUUUGACUGGGGCGGUCGCCUCCUAAAGAGUAACGGAGGCGCUCAAAGGUUUCCUCAGAAUGGUUGGAAAUCAUUCAUAGAGUGUAAAGGCAUAAGGAAGCUUGACUGCGAGACUUACAAGUCGAGCAGGGUCGAAAGACGGACUUAGUGAUCCGGUGGUUCCGCAUGGAAGAGUAGCCAUCGCUCAACGGAUAAAAGCUACCCCGGGGAUAACAGGCUUAUCUCCCCCAAGAGUUCACAUCGACGGGGAGGUUUGGCACCUCGAUGUCGGCUCAUCGCAUCCUGGGGCUGUAGUCGGUCCCAAGGGUUGGGCUGUUCGCCCAUUAAAGCGGUACGCGAGCUGGGUUCAGAACGUCGUGAGACAGUUCGGUCCCUAUCCGUCGUGGGCGUAGGAAAUUUGAGAGGAGCUGUCCUUAGUACGAGAGGACCGGGAUGGACAUACCUCUGGUGUACCAGUUGUCGUGCCAACGGCAUCGCUGGGUAGCUAUGUAUGGACGGGAUAAGUGCUGAAAGCAUCUAAGCAUGAAGCCCCCCUCAAGAUGAGAUUUCCCAACUUCGGUUAUAAGAUCCCUCAAAGAUGAUGAGGUUAAUAGGUUCGAGGUGGAAGCAUAGCGAUAUGUGCAGCUGACGAAUACUAAUCGAUCGAAGACUUAAUCAA